GACGAACGCUGGCGGCGUGCUUAACACAUGCAAGUCGAACGGAAAGGCCCUGCUUGCAGGGUACUCGAGUGGCGCACGGGUGAGUAACACGUGGGUGAUCUGCCCUGCACUUCGGGAUAAGCCUGGGAAACUGGGUCUAAUACCGGAUAGGAGCCCUUUUUAGUGUGAUGGUUGGAAAGUUUUUUCGGUGUAGGAUGAGCUCGCGGCCUAUCCGCUUGUUGGUGGGGUAAUGGCCUACCAAGGCGGCGACGGGUAGCCGGCCUGAGAGGGUGGACGGCCACAUUGGGACUGAGAUACGGCCCAGACUCCUACGGGAGGCAGCAGUGGGGAAUAUUGCACAAUGGGCGCAAGCCUGAUGCAGCGACGCCGCGUGGGGGAUGACGGCCUUCGGGUUGUAAACUCCUUUCGCUAGGGACGAAGCUUUUGUGACGGUACCUAGAUAAGAAGCACCGGCUAACUACGUG
rnacentral:rRNA from 1 species